rnacentral:rRNA from 1 species
UACGUAGGGUGCAAGCGUUAAUCGGAAUUACUGGGCGUAAAGCGUGCGUAGGCGGUUCGUUAAGUCUGUUGUGAAAGCCCCGGGCUCAACCUGGGAAUGGCAAUGGAUACUGGCGAGCUAGAGUGUGUCAGAGGAUGGUGGAAUUCCCGGUGUAGCGGUGAAAAUGCGUAGAGAUCGGGAGGAACAUCAGUGGCGAAGGCGGCCAUCUGGGACAACACUGACGCUGAGGCACGAAAGCGUGGGGAGCAAACAGG